rnacentral:rRNA from 1 species
UACGUAGGUCGCAAGCGUUGUCCGGAUUUACUGGGCGUAAAGAGCGCGCAGGCGGCUGGUCAAGUCCGAUGUGAAAUCUCCCGGCUUAACUGGGAAACUGCAUCGGAAACUGAUCGGCUUGAAGGUGGGAGAGGGUAGUGGAAUUCCCGGUGUAGUGGUGAAAUGCGUAGAUAUCGGGAGGAACACCAGUGGCGAAGGCGGGUCUCUGGGCCGAUACUGACGCUGAGGAGCGAAAGCGUGGGGAGCGAACAGG